rnacentral:lncRNA from 1 species
AUGAAACAAGCAAGUGGGCUGGAGAAGACAUCUGCCUCCAGUAUUCUGAUCUACCUCGAGGACCUGUUUCUGGAGGUUAAACUUGGAAUUGAGUUUAGAGCCUGCAGGUCUAAGGAGAGGUACAAGACUUUCCUAGGACUGCAUGCAGCGCAGUGCAAGAUACAGAUUUCCCCAUCUCUACAAGGCCUUUUUAUUUGGUCUAGAUACACAUCUUCAAUCCUUGUUUUGAGGAUCAAAUCUGUAUUUCCUGCGUGCUUGAGGAAAGUCUGUCAGCGUGAUGAGGCAUCAGCAUCACUCAGCAGGACCUGUUGA